AGCCUGAACCAGCCAAGUCGCGUGAGGGAUGAAGGUUCUAUGGAUCGUAAACCUCUUUUAUAAGGGAAUAAAGUGCGGGACGUGUCCUAUUUUGUAUGUACCUUAUGAAUAAGGAUCGGCUAACUCCGUGCCAGCAGCCGCGGUAAUACGGAGGAUCCGAGCGUUAUCCGGAUUUAUUGGGUUUAAAGGGUGCGUAGGCGGCCUUUUAAGUCAGCGGUGAAAGUCUGUGGCUCAACCAUAGAAUUGCCGUUGAAACUGGGAGGCUUGAGUAUGUUUGAGGCAGGCGGAAUGCGUGGUGUAGCGGUGAAAUGCUUAGAUAUCACGCAGAACCCCGAUUGCGAAGGCAGCCUGCCAAGCCAUGACUGACGCUGAUGCACGAAAGCGUGGGGAUCAAACAGGAUUAGAUACCCUGGUAGUCCACGCAGUAAACGAUGAUCACUAGCUGUUUGCGAUACACAGUAAGCGGCACAGCGAAAGCGUUAAGUGAUCCACCUGGGGAGUACGCCGGCAACGGUGAAACUCAAAGGAAUUGACGGGGGCCCGCACAAGCGGAGGAACAUGUGGUUUAAUUCGAUGAUACGCGAGGAACCUUACCCGGGUUUGAACGCAUUCGGACCGAGGUGGAAACACCUUUUCUAGCAAUAGCCGUUUGCGAGGUGCUGCAUGGUUGUCGUCAGCUCGUGCCGUGAGGUGUCGGCUUAAGUGCCAUAACGAGCGCAACCCUUGCCACUAGUUACUAACAGGUGAUGCUGAGGACUCUGGUGGGACUGCCAGCGUAAGCUGCGAGGAAGGCGGGGAUGACGUCAAAUCAGCACGGCCCUUACA
rnacentral:rRNA from 1 species